ACCAUAUAAUCGUAAUCGUAAUAAGCAUAUAAUCGAGUCAUAAGUAUUACAAGAUCUAGUGUGCCUUGGACACAACUGUCAACUUGGAUUGUUGAAAUACCAAAGAAAUUCCAACGUUUAGUCAGUCGUCUCUCGAAAAUCGGCGAGUUUUCAAACGUAAUAACCAGAAACACAAAAUUUAUUAUUUGGAACGUGCACAACAAAAUAAGCGGCGAGAACAAAUUCAGAUUCUCGUGGAACAUGAAAAAGGAGCGGCGGACGUGGUGCCCCAGCCACUGUGGCGUCCCAGAGUGUUGAGCAGGGAUCGGGAUCAGGAUCAGGGUCAAGAUCAGGAUCGGGAUCUGCCACCUCCAGGCAGGCGGUGGAGCAGCUGUCGCUGGUCAGAUCGCUGUUCUGCAGCAAGGAACCCUACUCCUCCUUGAGCUCCUGGAUGAACGAAAGGGCGCUCCAUCUCCGUAUUUUAGAUAUUUGAAAAGGGUCCCCCAUAUAUUUAUUCCUUUCCGAUUGCCGGCAGUCGGGUUAUCCAUAGUAUU